CCAAAUAAAGUUGUUCAACUCCCAUACAUUGGUGUGAAAUUUUGGGGUUCAUGAAGUACUAGAUCAAAAAAAUAUAAUUCCUGCGUAUAAUGUUACCUUGCGCUCUUCUGCAAAUCGUUGCUAUGAGUAACUACUGUUUAAACAAAUAUAAACAAGAAAAAAUCAGAUUCUGGAAACGGAAGUAAUUGUUUAAAAAUUGGAAGCAUCCUUCAUCAGCCCUCGUUGUGUAACUUUGGUAACGAGUUCUCGUCGUCGUCAAUUAUGAGAGCGUCCUCAGUCGAAAAGUUCGUCGUCCAAUUCGAA